AACCAUAGGAACUACAUAUAUGAAUUAUUCAAAUUAAUUACAGAAAAAUAUAAAUUUAAAGCUACAACAAAAACUUUAUAUUAAAGUAUAUCAUAUUAUACAUCCACUAUAUAGAUCUAAUCAUCAGGAGUCUAAUAAAAUUAAAUUUUUUAUUUUAUGAUUUUUCUAUAAUUUAUUAUGAUUUUUCAAAGAUUCAGCGGAAAUAAAUAAAAAAGACAAAGACAAAACCACUCUCUAAAACCACUCAAGGGGGUUAUUUGACCGGUUUUUAAAGUUCAGGGGAUAGAAUAUACGGUUUUAUAAUUUGGAGGAUAAAGUAUUCCACCCUAGAUAGUUUGGGGGCUAUGUAGACUUUUUCCUUAGUUGCAUAGUGAAUAUUAUCGGGUCUUAUGAACAUUUUCUAUGUUUAUUUUCUAUAAACUCUCAUAUUGAACUAUGCUUUUGUUUUCAUAUUGAACUAUGCAGAUUACUCCUUAGUUACAUAGUGAAAAAGGAGGAAAUAAUCAAUAAGCAAUAUUCUUGGAGAGCUAAAUAUAUAGGUCUAGUAAGUAAAAGAAUUAAGACGGCCACUGAGGUGUAUAUACUUCCUAUCGACAUUGAUAGUCUAAAUCUGAAGCUUCUUUGUUUAUCUCUGGGCUUCUUCCCUCUAAUAAAUAAUUAGUAGCACCAAUUGCAUUUGUAUGACUACUAUACCGGCCCUAUGAUCAUCAUCACCUCUAAGAAGAAAUAUUAAUACUGAUAAUGACUUCACUAAAGUGUGUUCAAUUAACUAUAUCUCGAGCCGAAUUGUUUGUUUGGCUGAUAAGUCAUGGUAGAAAGUAAGCUCGAACUAACGACCAAAGUACAAGCGUGAAGCGUUUAGCACCCAGUAUGCUACUGAACUGUUGUCGACACCUCUCACUCUCUCAAAAAAAAAAAAACUGUUGUUGUAGACUUAAGUUUGGGUACGAAAAGUGACAAUGUAUCCUCUAUCGGCUUCCAUAUAUAGUCAGUCCUCUGCAAAUAAAUAAAUGGCCACAAUUGGAGUAUUGACUUAGGUCUUGUUUGAAUGUUGUUAGAUUCAUCUCAAUCCACAUGUGUUGGAGUGGAUUGGAGUGGAAUUUAGUUCAAGUUCCACUCUAACCCACAUUGAGCAUCUCCAACAGUUAUGCAAUUGGACUUUGCAUUCUUGAAAUUUGCCAAAAACUUUAAAAAUUGCUCUCCAACAGUUUUGCAUUUGACUUAUUCAUUUUGGCAAACUUAGCAUUUGGUGGACAAACUUGGCAUUUUUGCAUAGACACAAUGGCUUGACAAUUUUGAUAUCCCGAGAAUCUUGGACUCCUUGUCGUGCCCGUACUCCCCACGUCGUGGUAGUUUCCCACG
rnacentral:lncRNA from 1 species